rnacentral:rRNA from 1 species
UACAGAGGUCCCAAGCGUUGUUCGGAUUCAUUGGGCGUAAAGGGUGUGUAGGUGGCGCCGUAAGUCGGGUGUGAAAUCUCGGGGCUUAACUCCGAAACUGCAUUCGAUACUGCGGUGCUUGAGGACUGGAGAGGAGACUGGAAUUCAUGGUGUAGCAGUGAAAUGCGUAGAGAUCAUGAGGAAGACCAGUGGCGAAGGCGGGCCUCUGGACAGUUCCUGACACUGAGGCACGAAGGCCAGGGGAGCAAACGGG